ensembl:lncRNA
GUUUUGGAGAAAGUGUCACACCUCUGGUCCAGGGGGAAGGCGAGCACGAAACACUGAGAACGCGGCAGAUGCAACACCUCCCAAGCUGAAGGGUUUCAACAAAAACAGCAGAGGGAGGCGAGCAAUGGAUGCGUGAUGGAUUGUACAUGAUGCCUGAAGAGAAUCAAAAGUGAAGAUCCCUGAAUGACAGCCAGGAUUAGUUGGAGGAGAAAAGGACUUGUAGCAGGAGAUGACACAGAUGGACCGAAUUAAUUUG